GAUGAACGCUAGCGGCAGGCCUAAUACAUGCAAGUCGAACGGUGUCUUUGGACAUAGUGGCGCACGGGUGCGUAACACGUAUGCAACCUACCUUACAUUGGGGGAUAGCCUUUCGAAAGGGAGAUUAAUACCGCAUAAGACAGUAGCUGGGCAUCCAGCAGCUGUUAAAGAUUUAUCGAUGUAAGCUGGGCAUGCGGCCAAUUAGCUAGUUGGUGAGGUAACGGCUCACCAAGGCAAUGAUUGGUAGGGGAACUGAGAGGUCAAUCCCCCACACUGGCACUGAGAUACGGGCCAGACUCCUGCGGGAGGCAGCAGUAGGGAAUAUUGGGCAAUGGACGCAAGUCUGACCCAGCCAUGCCGCGUGCAGGAUGAAGGCGUUAUGCGUUGUAACCUGCUUUUAUACAGGAAGAAACGACUCUUGCGAGAGGCAUUGACGGUACUGUAUGAAUAAGCACCGGCUAACUCCGUGCCAGCCGCCGCGGUAAGAC
rnacentral:rRNA from 1 species